rnacentral:rRNA from 1 species
GCUUCAGCAAGACACAGUCAGAACUAUAAGUCUCAAAACCCCGACGAGUAGGGUGGCGUGCCGGUGCGCGUUGAAGGCCAAGACGUGAGUCAGGCUGGAGCCGCCGGUAGUGCAGAUCUUGGUGGUAGUAGCAAGUACUCUGGUGAAGUAACCUGGAGCUGUGAGGUAUGGAUUAGGGUUCCAUGUCAACAGUGAUUGAACAUGGGUGAGUCGAACCUAAGCCAGCUGUGAAUGCAGUGACAUCCCAACAACGGGGACGCUCAAACAUGCAUCUAGGUGCUUACACCCCCUAGGCACGCCUCUCUUGAUAGUUCUCUCUCUCUCACGUUCACAUUACCAAAGUGUGCCUGGUACGGAAAAAGCGCAGUGCGCUUGGAUCGAUGAUGCGAGUCUGUCUCAAUCUCUACGGAGAAUAAAAGGCGCAGAUACACACGAUGACCAUCACCUACGCGGUGGUGUGAGUGACGGCGUCAGUAUGGCAAUCUGGUGGUGAGGAUGUAAGACGCACACACACAAUGAUCACUAUAAAUAUAUUAGUGAGUGUGAGGCGCAACUGUCUGGUUACGCUCAUUAGCGUUGUUGUCACAGAGAGGGAAUGAAGAAGACCCAAGCCACACACACACGAAAUGUGUGUGUGUGAUAGCUGAAAAGGGUCUGUAGUCAAAAGAGGAUCUAUGCGCCACACACGCACACGAGAUGUGGGUGUGCUGGCAAAAGGUUCUGCAGUCAAAUUAGGAGCUAUAUAGAGAGAGAGAGAGCCGGGAGAGUGGGUGAGCGUGAGUUAACCAUUGCACUUAGUCCCCUGCGUCUGGUUCUUUGUCCGGCGAAAGGGAAUGGGGACUUUUUUCCUUGACCGGUCCCGGCACCCUCGAUUGGCUUUGCCAAUCAAUGGUCCAUGCAAAUGGAACCAGGCCACAGCCGUCGGC